UCCCCUUUUUGGGUAAAAUGAGGAGCAGAAGCUAUAUCAAAAGAAUACAUUCUUCGAGUCCAAUCCCUGAUGGCCCCAGUCAAUAAACUUUAUUUGUUUACUCCCAAGGUACAACAAACCACCCCGCAAACCAAAAGCAUAUGCAGAGGGGCUUUUUUUUUUUUUGGGUAAAAUGAGGAGCAGAAGCCAUAUUAAAAGAAGGAUCUUAACCAACAAGUACCAC
rnacentral:lncRNA from 1 species